rnacentral:ncRNA from 1 species
UAAUAAUUUGGUUAUGGUUAUAUAAUUAGCUACAUCAUUAAAUUACACAUGCAAAUUUAUGUGCCCCCGAUAAUCUAUGUCUCUUCUCUUAAAGAUAAUACCUCCUUUUAUUAGAUUACUAUAAUAAAGAUUACGCCUGCAGUGAAAAAUACUGAUUUAAUUAUGCAAAUAAGACACGGUAAAUGAUUCUAAGACUGACUAAAUUCGUGCCAGCAGCCGCGGUUAAACGAUAGGUCUAAGUUAACUUCGACGGAGAUAUGAAAAAAUACUUAGAUAAAAACAAACCUAUAAAGGUACAAUUUCAUAAGCAAAUAAAUAAAUUUAUCCAAUAAACUUUUCAACAAAGUUAAGGCCAAAACAAGGAUUAGAUACCCUUCUAUUCUUAACCUCACCAUAUAACUCCUGGCACUACGAGUACAUACUUAAAACCUAAGAACUUGGCGGUGUUUCAACAUACUAGGGGAGCCUGUUUUUUAAUCGAUAACCCACGCUUACCUUUACCUAGCUUAGAAUUUCAGCUUGUGUACUGCCGUCCAAAGUUUACAUAGUGAUAUAGUAAACUAGAAAGAUUAUCUUUAACAUGUCAGGUCAAAGUGCAGCCAACAGCUAGGCUAAAAUGGGCUACAUUUUUUAUAUAUUUGGAAUGCUUUCUAAUAACGCAUGAAAAUGGACUUAGCAGUAAACUUAAAAUAAAAUACUAUAUUGAAGAAGCUAAAUGAAACAUGCACAAAUCGCCCGUCGCUCUUUCUGAAAAGAAAGAUAAGUCGUAACAUAGUUAGUGUAAUGGAAAUUGCACUUAUCAAGAU